UACGGGGGGAGCAAGCGUUGUUCGGAUUUACUGGGCGUAAAGGGCGCGUAGGCGGCGCAACAAGUCACUUGUGAAAUCUCCGGGCUUAACCCGGAGCGGCCAAGUGAUACUGUCGUGCUAGAGUGCGGAAGGGGCUACUGGAAUUCUCGGUGUAGCGGUGAAAUGCGUAGAUAUCGAGAGGAACACCUGCGGCGAAGGCGGGUAGCUGGGCCGACACUGACGCUGAUGCGCGAAAGCUAGGGGAGCGAACGGG
rnacentral:rRNA from 1 species